AUUGAACGCUGGCGGCAUGCCUUACACAUGCAAGUCGAACGGCAGCACGGGUGCUUGCACCUGGUGGCGAGUGGCGAACGGGUGAGUAAUACAUCGGAACAUGUCCUGUAGUGGGGGAUAGCCCGGCGAAAGCCGGAUUAAUACCGCAUACGAUCUACGGAUGAAAGCGGGGGACCUUCGGGCCUCGCGCUAUCGGGUUGGCCGAUGGCUGAUUAGCUAGUUGGUGGGGUAAAGGCCUACCAAGGCGACGAUCAGUAGCUGGUCUGAGAGGAAGACCAGCCACACUGGGACUGAGACACGGCCCAGACUCCUACGGGAGGCAGCAGUGGGGAAUUUUGGACAAUGGGCGAAAGCCUGAUCCAGCAAUGCCGCGUGUGUGAAGAAGGCCUUCGGGUUGUAAAGCACUUUUGUCCGGAAAGAAAUCCUUGGCCCUAAUACGGUCGGGGGAUGACGGUACCGGAAGAAUAAGCACCGGCUAACUACGUG
rnacentral:rRNA from 1 species